AGUGAACGCUGGCGGUAGGCCUAACACAUGCAAGUCGAACGGCAGCACAGUAAGAGCUUGCUCUUACGGGUGGCGAGUGGCGGACGGGUGAGGAAUACAUCGGAAUCUACUUUUUCGUGGGGGAUAACGUAGGGAAACUUACGCUAAUACCGCAUACGACCUACGGUUGAAAGCAGGGGAUCUUCGGACCUUGCGCGAUUGAAUGAGCCGAUGUCGGAGUAGCUAGUUGGCGGGGUAAAGGCCCACCAAGGCGACGAUCCGUAGCUGGUCUGAGAGGAUGAUCAGCCACACUGGAACUGAGACACGGUCCAGACUCCUACGGGAGGCAGCAGUGGGGAAUAUUGGACAAUGGGCGCAAGCCUGAUCCAGCCAUACCGCGUGGGUGAAGAAGGCCUUCGGGUUGUAAAGCCCUUUUGUUGGGAAAGAAAAGCAGCAGGUUAAUACCCCGCUGUUCUGACGGUACCCAAAGAAUAAGCACCGGCUAACUUCGUG
rnacentral:rRNA from 1 species